rnacentral:tRNA from 1 species
AAGGGUAUAGCUCAGUGGUAAAAUGCAUGCUUAGCGUGCAUGAGGUCCUGGGUUCAAUCCCCAGUACCUCCA